rnacentral:tRNA from 2 species
AGUAGGUUUGAACUCCUACAAGCUCGCGUGGCUCAUAACCACGAGGUCGGCGGUUCGAAUCCACCUCCCGCUACCA